CAGUCGCCGCGGGAAUACAGAGGGUGCGAGCGUUAAUCGGAUUUACUGGGCGUAAAGCGUGCGUAGGCGGUUUGGCAAGUUUGGUGUGAAAUCUUCGGGCUCAACUCGAAGUCUGCAUCGAAAACUGCCGGGCUUGAGUAUGGGAGAGGUGAGUGGAAUUUCCGGUGUAGCGGUGAAAUGCGUAGAUAUCGGAAGGAACACCUGUGGCGAAAGCGGCUCACUGGACCAUAACUGACGCUGAUGCACGAAAGCUAGGGGAGCAAACAGGAUUAGAUACCCCUGUAGUCCCUGUCUCUUAUAC
rnacentral:rRNA from 1 species